rnacentral:misc_RNA from 1 species
GGCAACUUUAGAAGCAAUAUCAACUCCAUUCAAUGAAAACAGUGAACUUUCAACUUUGUAACCAACAGGCAACAGCAGAAUCAGUACGCAUACAAUUCAUUCCCUUCAAUUUAGUACAAGGUCCUCAAUGAAAACAGGAACAACCUGUCCACAAUUGUAGGAUAUUUAACUAGGACAAUACCGAAAAGCAAAUAUGUGAAAAACAGCA